GUGGUUGUGUCAGAAGUAUAUGAGUUAGUUUUAAGCGCUAAUCAUGGGGGGGUGACCCCUCAAUCAUU
rnacentral:tRNA from 1 species